rnacentral:ncRNA from 1 species
AUGUUGUACAAAAGAGAAAAGUUUAGCACUCUCUGUCAAGAAUGGAAGAGGUACUCACUCAAGAAACACCAUGCACAUAAUUAAAGAGCUGCCACCUCUUUUGUUGCAUCUGAUAACUGUUUCC